rnacentral:lncRNA from 1 species
GUGACUCCAGGAGAGAGAGUGUUGGGCCCCCAGCAGUUGUGAGUACUAAAGAGAAGGGAAUGGGUUUAAGAGGGUGAGGACCCGCGGCAGCUGCUGCUCCUCCAGGAGGGUGGGGAGCCCAACCCACAGGCGAAGCCUGAAAUGGUGCCAUAUGUCAUGUGCCUUCUGUGACUUUUUCGCGUGGAUUCUGAGAGACGCGUCUGCCAAGCAGUAGCUGCAGUCCACUCGUUUGUGUAUGGUGCUGUGUGAUUGUCCCAUCCUGGCUUCCAUGUGAGUCUCC